rnacentral:rRNA from 1 species
CCUACGGGUGGCUGCAGUGGGGGAUAUUGCACAAUGGGGGAAACCCUGAUGCAGCGACGCCGCGUGUGGGAUGACGGUCCUCUGGAUUGUAAACCACUGUCGCCAGGGACGAAGAUGACGGUACCUGGGGAGGAAGCUCCGGCUAACUACGUGCCAGCAGCCGCGGUAAUACGUAGGGAGCGAGCGUUGUCCGGAAUUACUGGGUGUAAAGGGAGCGUAGGCGGAAUAUCAAGUCAGCGGUAAAAAUUCGGGGCUCAACCCCGUCGUGCCGUUGAAACUGAUGUUCUUGAGUGGGCGAGAAGUAUGCGGAAUGCGUGGUGUAGCGGUGAAAUGCAUAGAUAUCACGCAGAACUCCGAUUGCGAAGGCAGCAUACCGGCGCCCAACUGACGCUGAAGCACGAAAGCGUGGGUAUCGAACAGGAUUAGAUACCCUUGUAGUC